CUUUCGCUGUGCCCAAUUAGCUGCUGCCGCGCCUUGGAGUCCGGAGUAACUUGGCCAGGCUGGCCCCGAGCGGAACUGGAGAAAGCUGAGGCUCUAACCAUGGAAUACUGGGAAUGUCCCUUUCUGUGAAGGAGGUUUGUCAGCCACAACAGGAAUAUUCAUGAACAUGAAGGGGUUGGGCAUGUUCCAGGAUCUGUCUAUCGACUUCUCUCAGGAGGAAUGGGAGGGCCUGGACACUGCUCAGAAGGACUUAUAGAGAGAUGUAAUGAUGGAGAACUAUAGCAGCCUGGUCUCACUAGGUCUCUCUAUCCCAAAGCCUGAUGUGAUUUCCUUACUGGAGCAAGGGAAAGAGUCCUGCAUGGUUUCAAGGGACGUACCAGGAGGAUGGUGCCCAGUUUUCCUUUAAUGCAGCCAUUUCAUGCAUCAAUGGAUAUUCAUUCAGCACUCUUUUUUUUUUUUUGGAUACAGAGUCUCACUCUGUAGCCCGGGCUGGAGUGCAGUGGUGUGAUCUUGUCUCACUGGAAGCCAAUAAGAAACGCUUGGGGAUGACCUCCCUACAAGCACAGGAAAACCAUUCCUGCGCAUUUCUGCGCUGGAACGCCUACCUUUAGUGCCGUUUCCUGCGCUUUCUUGCAGAUUUGUAUCAGGCACUGGAGAACCUCCCACCUGGUCCAUGCCCGGCUCCCGGUGAGCACCGAGACCCAACCUUGUGCACAGCCAGUCUUGUCAUCAACAAACAGGGUAGUAAAUUAUAAAAAAUAAAAUAAAGGAAAUGUAGCUGGGCGUGGUGGCAUGCGCCUGUAAUCCCAGCUACUCCGGAGGCUGAUGCAGGAGAAUCGCUUGAACCCAGGAGGUGAAGGUUGCAGUGAGGCGAGAUCGCGCCACUGCGCUCCAGCGUGGAUGGCAAGAGCGAAACUCCUUCUCGAAAUAAUAAAUAAAAUAAAGGAAAUAGGGCCGGGCAUGGUGGCUCACGCCUGUAAUUCCAGCACUUUUGGUGGCCGAGGCGGGCAGAUCACUUGAGGUCAGAAGUUCGAGACCAGUCUGGCCAACAUGGUGAAACCCCUUCUCUACUAAAAAUAAACAAUUAGCCAGGCAUGGUGGCGGGAGCCUGUAAUCCCAGCUAUUUGUGAGGCGGAGACACAAGAAUCGCUUGAAUCCCGGAGACAGAGGUUGCAGUGAGCCGAGCUCGUGCCACUGCGCUCCAGCCUGGGCGACAGAGCAAGACUCCAUCUUAAAAUAAAAUAGGCCGGCCGAGGGUGCUCAUGCCUGUAAUCACAGCAUUUUGGAGGCUGAGGCGGGUGGAUUGCCUGAGCUCAGGAGUUCAAGACCAUCCUGGCCUACAUGGUGAAACCCCAUCUCUACUAAAAAUGCAAAAAUUAGCCGGGCAUGGUGGCGCAUGCCUGUAAUCCUAGCUACUUUGGAGGCUGAGGCAGGAGAACAGUUUCAACCCAGGAGGCGGAAGUUGCAGUGAGCCGAGACCGCCACAUUGCACUCCAGCUUGGGCAAGAGGAUUGAAACUCCAUCACAAAAAUAAAUAAAUAAAUAAAUAAAUAAAUAAAUAUAAAAGAAAUAGACAAAGCAAAUCUUAAUGCAUGAACUCAAACAAAUGCUUUCACUGCCAGGCUCCAUCUUUGCAAAACUGAACCUAGGACAAUGUGAACGUUUCUAACUAGCAAUUCUGGAGGACAGAUCAGGGAGGCAGCGUGAGCUUGCUUUUCUGCAAUUUAAUUGACUGGUCAGUAAAGUCAGUGUUUGCAGGCAUUUUCAAUGUUCUAUAGUGGGCUUCAGUGCCUGUGGCAGGCCAGGUUUGCAAUAGCAACCAGAACAGUUUCUACUAACCCUUUACUAUAAUUUUGAUGAAUGCAUAAGUUAACGUUAAAGAAAUGGAGAAACUGGUGCCUGAGUAUCACGGAUGGAAUGUGAAAACAAACCCACUGAGACCCCGUCUGGGUUUUCUCAGACCCUAAAAUCUGAUCGAAUAAUGAUAGCGUUCGUACACAUUCACCUCGGCCUGUCUUAAGAUUCAAAAACUUUCCAAGACUCUAGGGAAAUCUUUCCAGACGCUAGACCCGAGUUAAAGAUUAGAUGUUGAUUGAAUGAAACACUCCUGCUUGUAGGUGCAAUCCCACAUGGAGCUUAAGAUAUAUAUAAGCACUAGAAAAAAAAACUUGUAACUUUGAGUUGAUCUGGUGAUUUACCUGGCGCUUCUCCCUGUAAGUGGCUGCAGAAAUAAACUUCCUUCUUUCCCAGUCUGUCUGUAUCUUAGUAUUGAACAAUUGCGAUGGAGCUGCCCAGCAAAGUCCUCUUCUAUGUGGUUAUCUGGGACUCCUUUUGGAGGGAACAUUUUAAAUUUUCCAUUUCAAAGCAUUCUGUUGGCCUUCUUACACUGUUUUUCUCUGCCUAUCCUGGGACCUGAGUUCUCCUGGACAUGAAUCUGCAGCCACAGAGCCUAGAAGCUCAUUCCUCCACAUUCUGUGACUGUUCCCCAAACACAGGGAGAAUUUGCAGAAAAUAAGCCCAAAAAUCUUGCCAUUCUUUGCAAUAAAACCCCACAUUACAAACUGCUGAAAACAGGAUUUUAGCCUGAAUAGGUUGUUCCUCUAUUUGAAAGCCUUUACAAUUUCGGAGGGAAGUUUCCAAAUCAAUCAGUAAGUACCCCCCACUCCAGGUUUAUCCUUAUGUAAAGUGCCCCCUUUGCACAUGCAAGAUUGAAUAAACCUUGAAAAUAUUAUGCUAAGUGAAAGAAGCCGGUCACAAAGGACCACAUGGUAUGUAAUUCCAUUUAAAUAAAAUGUCCAAAAUAGACCAACACAUAGAAACAGAAAGUAGAUUUGUGGUGGCCCAGGAUUAGGGGAGUUGGGGGGAAAUGGAGGGAUAUGGUGUUUACUUCAGGGUAAUGAAAAUGAUCUAAAAUUUAUUGUGGUGAUGUUUGCAUAACAGUGCAAAUAUACUGAAAACCACUGAAUUUUACACUUUAAAUCAGUGGCUUCUGUGGUAUGUUAUCAAUAUUUCUCAAUAAAACUUCAAAAAAA